GUACAUAAUCUCAUUGGUAAGAAAUAGGUUGGAAUAAAUGAAAGUUAUCCUCUAUGGACCUUUCCCCGACCUUUGACCUUUAUUGUUUUUGGUCGCUCAGACAAACAUUGCAAAUAUUCAGACUUGUGUAGGGCGAUAGACUGGUACGGUGCGUUGCUCGUUUUGAAGGCCUUCAGAUGGCAUUUCACUAGUGAUGGCGGUAUUUUCGUGCUUCUAAAGUUAUACCAUAUUGUCAAGUGAUCUAUUAUUAACGUUAUUCCGCCUUCACAUUGCCGUUACCGUACCUGACUUAGUUCCAAAAGCGGCGAAAAGCCUACCGGUAUGUAGUUUAACCUCGAAUCGGAGUUUAACUUUGGAUCGGCGGUUUAAGUCCGGAUCAAAAAGAUAUUUGAAUCUACCUGUGCCCAAAAGUUUCCUUUUAGUUAUAUUUUGUGUAUGAGCAGAACUGAGAUUUACCUACGAUCGGCUAAUUCACAAGUCUGCAAGGUCCCGAAGUUGGAUCAAAAAAAUAGACAAGGAGCGAAUAGAUAGCAGAAGCUGUUUCAAGUCAAGUAAACUGUCUGAGUGCCAUGAUGAUGAUCAAUUUUAUCAGCUCUAUUGGAGGAGCAAAUUUGUCAUGAAGAGAAACAACUGUUAUGGAUAGGAUUAUAGUAAAAGUGUUGUCAAGUCAAGGCAGUGUGCAGCAGUGCUUUAUUCUACGCCUUCGUGUCCAACAAAUAUGUGGAACCCGGUUAACUUAAGCCUAACAAACAAAUAAUUCUUGCAUGCUAAAACAUUUGAAGCAAACGUAGUUAUGUUGAUUUUUCGUCACUUGGCGAGUCUUUCGCAGAAGAAAUAAAUUAACUUAAAUAGCAACGAAAGCAACAACUAUGAUUGCACCUGUGUCUGUGUGCAUUACGUUGACACAUUCCUGUCUCAAAGCUGUAGAGCCAGAAUAAAAUUUAGCACCUCUUCCGAAUUGAUUUUUUCAAUUUCUUGAAUGUCAGUACAUUUUAGCAGUCAUUUGAACAAAUGAAUAUUGGUUAUUUUCGCAAUACAAAUUUUCAAAAUAAUAAAAUGUUAAAUAUGUAGAA